rnacentral:lncRNA from 1 species
AUAAUCCAUUGCCAGAUCCUCCUGGGAGGCCCGCCUGCCCGGGCCCCUCCCUGUCCUCCAGAGGCAGGGUCCCUGAGUGGGAGGGAGAAGGCGGCUGGUUUGGGGCUGGCCUUUUUAUUCCUGCUGACAUCAUCUCUACCGUUGAGUUCAACCACACGGGAGAGCUGCUGGCCACAGGUGACAAGGGCGGCCGGGUCGUCAUCUUCCAGCGGGAACCAGAGAACUCUGGGUAAGACAGCAGUGGCCUGGACAACCUGCCCAGGACCACGUUUCUGGAACACUGAAAGAGCCUCGGGACAAAAGCCCAUUUACUGAGAACACUUGCUAAGUAUUCUGGAGUUGCUUCUGGUUUACUCUGCACUGCUCACCUCCGAGGGCCAGAUCCACACCCCUGUGACAGAUGCGGAAACUCAGAGAAGCCACCCAGCUAGUGAACAGCAGACCUGGCUGCCCGACGCCAGGACAGUGGCCAGCAACGUCACACACCACCCGGCCUCAGAGAGGGCGUCUCCCCCCGCAAACACGGACUGUGCCUGGAAUUAGAUGCAGAAGACAUCCAGGAAACCAAGGAGGAGGGAG